GGCGGCGGUGGGAGCGAGGGACGGCGGAGCCGGCGGCGACCGUCGGGGAGGAGCCAAACCCUCCAGCACCUCCUCCUAAAGUGCAGGGUGGGAGUCUCAGGAGAAAACUGCUGGGAGGCUUUUAAACAUUUCAGGGAGACACAAAGAAUCUGCAAGAGCCGGAAAAGAUCAGCUAAGUGCAUGCAGGUUUGGCGCAGGGGGAAGAAGGGCCGUCCAUCCUGUAUGCCCGGCACUGCGGAACUGGUUGCCUCCGGAAAGCCGGUGGCUGCGGGAACAGGAGCAAGAGCAGGAGCAGAGCCCUCAUUUGAGCACCAAGAAGUAGGUGGUCCAGCCAGCGAGGAGCAGUGCCCCGAGCAGCACCGUGUAGCUGAACAGCACGAAGGCCAGCAGCUCCCUCAGCACCUUGAGGACGUGGAUGGCGAAGGACUCCGGCAUCGCGCUCUCCGGCAGGUAGGAUCCCUGGGGUUGGAUGCUCCUGCUCCUCCCCGGCCUGUAAGCACAGGGACAGGGUGAGUCUUCCCGAGCAGGGAGACUGUAAUUCACUGUUUCUCCCCAGUGGCUCUGCUGUGGGGAGAAACCUUGUGAUCAGGAGGGUUGAUGCCCACCUGGAAUGUUGUUAGUGUCUGGUGGGACUCGUGUGCCUGUUCAGAGUCCUCCCGGGCUGUGCAGUGUUGAAAGAGAGUUUGGAAUCUGAUCAAAGUCUCCCAGUUAGGACUGUUAACGGAGCGGAUGGAAAUACAGACACAGGCCGUGGGCACGGCUGUGUGGGUGAGGCCAGAGGCUCUUAGAGAGUCCACUGGCUCCUGGAAUCUUUCCCCUGUGGCAGCGGCUGGGGAUCCAGGAAGCUUCAGGAUCAGAGUGGCCGCUGAUGGUGCAUUACCAACAGCGUGUUCUGAUCAAAGUGGUCAAUUCCUCCAAGAAAGCCACCAUUAAUAUUUAAUGCUAUAAUUGCAUCUAAUGGAAAUACUGGCACAAACUGAGCCUUUUGUUUAAGAAUGACGAAAACUGAGGCUUAAAUACAAGUUUGAACAGGCAAAUAUUUAUAUCUCACGUUAAAAAUAACCUUUAAAUGGGAGACAUGGGGUAAAAUGCUUUAGAAUUCAUCUUAUAGCUUUAUUUUAAAGUCAUACUUUAAAGUAGCUUUGGAAGUAAUUGCUUGAUAGUUUAAAAUUAAAUCCAAACUCUUUCACAAAAAUCGUUGGCUCCUUAGACUUAAAGCUGUGAAGAUCCACCAAAAAAUUCUAUCAUCUCUCCGAUUUACAUGUUCUUUUAAAUUUUGAUCACAGCUGUGCCUGAUGAAAAAUAUCUGUGCUCUUGGUCAAGCACAUAAAGGGAGUUUAAAAUGAGACUUAAGAUAAAGCAAACCCAAAAGGAUUAUUUCUCUUCUAAGCGGUCUAAAGCCAGCCAAAGUAAACUGAAUUCUCAUCCUGUCACUUAGAAUGUUUUUUAAAGAGGUCUUCUGAUAAAGAGUUCACUUUUGGCUGUUGUUAAAGAGUUCAGUCAUUUCAUUCUAAGCUCAGGCACAUGUAUAUAGUAUAGGAAUUAUUUCAU